UAGUAGUAGUAGCAGUAGUAGCAGCAGUAGUAGUAGUAGUAGUAGUAGUAGUAGUAGUAGUAGUAGUAGAAGUAGAAGUAGCAGUAGUAGUAGUAGUAGUAGUAGCAGUAGUAGUAGUAGUAGUAGUAGUAGUAGGUAGUUGUUGUUGUUGUUGUGGCUGUUGUAAUAGUAGUAGUAGUUUUGCAGAAGUAGUAGUAGUAGUAGUAGUACUAGUAGUAGAAGUAAUAGUAGUAACUUUCAAAGCAAUGUCUACAAGUUUAAAUUCCUUAACCCUGUUCAAGGUGUAUACACACUUAAUAUUUAACUACAGUCCAGGUUUGCAAUUAACAAACUAUCUGAAAAGCCUGUGUGUGAGUCAGAUGUGUCUGCGGCUAAUCUAUUGGUUAUAAAAUAUCACAGCCUUUUCUGAUUGGCUGAGUUCAAAUACAGAAAGUUUACCUGUUAGAUUGAAUUUCUGGAGAAGGCGUAUUGAAGAAAAAAUGCAGCUUAAACUUGUUGUUAAAAUGAAGUUAAUGUAAUUUCACAAACAGUAGAGUUAAUGAGUUUUUCCAUUAACAAGAAUUUCUUAAAAUAAUAAUGUAUGGAUAUCAUUUGGAAAGUGACAUGAAAUGUUGUUAAAAAGUGAUGCAUACAAGUGUUUCAGAAGUCUGUCUAGGAAUAGAACAACAACUGAAGCUGACCAGUUGAUGGAAGAUACUGCAGAGUUUGGCAGGGAAAUAACCCAAGACAGCAAAGCGGCUCUUUUGGCGCAUUUACCAAGAGGACUAACAUGGCCACAAAUUCAUGAGAUCAUGCAGGAGCCCUACAGUAUAACAGCAGUACAAGUUCUAUAAAAGAUCCACGACCUACUGAAGCCCAGCUAAUUAACAAAAAAGUUUUUAAAAACUGUAAUUUUAUCCCACCUGGGUACUUAUAAUUUACUAAGCUGCCUACACAAGUUUUAGAUUUGCAAUUAUAUUUUAAAUUGUCACUUGGAAAGUAAUACAUGUACAUCUAUUAUGUUCUGAAUUUCUUUGAACAAUAAAAUUAUAUAAAAGUAUUUUAAUGAAAUUAAGCACCUAAAUUGCAUUAAAGUGAAAGUAGCUGAGAACAAGAUGUGUUUGUGAAACACAAUGUCCCCCUAUAUGACGUUUGACCUUGAAGGAUGACCUUGACCUUGACCCUUCACUACUCAAAAUGUGCAGCUCCAUGAGAUACACAUGCAUGUCAAAUAUAAAAUUGCUAGCUUCAAUAUUGCAGAAGUUGCAUUACAUGAGCAAUUUUGACCCAUAUAUUUGACUUGGAAGGAUGACCUUGACCUUGACCUUUCACCACUCAAAAUGUGCAGCUCCAUAAGUUACACAUGCAUGCCAAAUAUCAAGUUGCUAUCUUCAAUAUUGCAAAAGUUUUCAUAAAAUAAGCGAUUUGGGCCACAUAUAUUUGACCUCUGACCUUGAAGGAUGACCUUGACCUUUCACCACUCAAAAUGUGCAGCUCUAUAAGUUACACAUGCAUGCCAAAUAUCAAGUUGCUAUCUUUAAUAUUGCAAAAGUAUUCAUAAAAUAAGCGAUUUGGGCCACAUAUAUUUGACCUCUGACCUUGAAGUAUGACCUUGACCUUUCACCACUCAAAAUGUGCAGCUCCAUGAGAUACACAUGCAAGCCAAAUAUCAAGUUGCUAUCUUCAAUAUUGCAAAAGUAUUCAUAAAAUGAGCGAUUUUGGCCACAUAUAUUUGACCUCUGACCUUGAAGGAUGACCUUGACCUUUCACCACUCAAAAUGUGCAGCUCCAUGAGAUACACAUGCAUGCCAAAUAUCAAGUUGCUAUCUUCAAUAUAGCAAAAGUUAUUUCAAAAUGUUAAAGUUGGUGCAAACCAACCAACCAACCAACAGACCAACCAACCAACAGACUAACCAACAGACAGGGCAAAAACAAUAUGUCCCCCACUACUAUAGUGGGGGACAUAAAAAUAUUAUCCUUGUGCUCAUGUUCAGCUACAUAUAUUGUGACAUACAUGAAGCAGCUAAAAAUAACUUAAAUUUUUCAUUUUGUUUCUUGUAUAUCGUUUGUACAGGGUUCGUGAAUUGUUACUGUAUAUUACUUGACUUGCUUGUAUUUUGUUACUUUGAAUACAUGUUGUGAAGGUUGCAUUAUACUUUUUAACUUUUAAAGGAGCGCUUGUUCUGUUAUGUAAGGGCCUGAUUUAUGAUUAUGGACCUAGAGGCUUUGUAAGCAUGUAUUAAACAACACUUGUUUGAUCUGAAUAAUUUGUUAAAUAAAUGUAACACAAUUUGUAAUCUGAUGUUAUAUUUUGAUGAAUUGUGAACAAAAUAAUACAUCGAAGAAACUAA